CUCCCAGACUCCUACGGGAGGCAGCAGUGGGGAAUAUUGCACAAUGGGGGAAACCCUGAUGCAGCGACGCCGCGUGAGUGAAGAAGUAUUUCGGUAUGUAAAGCUCUAUCAGCAGGGAAGAAAUAGCGACCUUUGGGUCGCCAGACGGUACCUGAUUAAGAAGCCCCGGCUAACUACGUGCCAGCAGCCGCGGUAAUACGUAGGGGGCAAGCGUUAUCCGGAUUUACUGGGUGUAAAGGGAGCGUAGACGGCAGCGCAAGUCUGAAGUGAAAUGCCGGGGCCCAACCCCGGGACUGCUUUGGAAACUGCCAUGCUAGAGUGCUGGAGAGGUAAGCGGAAUUCCUAGUGUAGCGGUGAAAUGCGUAGAUAUUAGGAGGAACACCAGUGGCGAAGGCGGCUUACUGGACAGUAACUGACGUUGAGGCUCGAAAGCGUGGGGAGCAAACAGGAUUAGAUACCCCCGUAC
rnacentral:rRNA from 1 species